UCCAAACCUAUGAACCUGGGCCGCCAAAGUGGAGUGUGCCAAACUUAACCACUAUGCCACGGGGCCAGCCUGAGAUAAUGAAGUUUUUGAUUACACAAUAAUAAAACCUCUGCAGCUGUAAUAAACCUUAAUUGGGUGAAUGACUCAUUUAAAACUUGAAAAUUCAGAAACUGCAUCUGGGGAAAUAAUCUAAUGUUUCGUUUGUGGUCCAUGGUCACCUCUUUCAGUGGCAUUGUUUCUGCUGCCUCCCAAUUGCAAACUGCUGUACACACAGAGUUCAAACCUGAACCUACACUGGGAGCCGAAGGAUAAUUCCAGCCUUUGUUGAUCUACACCAGAAAUGCCCAUCUGUUACAAGGGGGAGCUCUGAUGACUGGAAAGUAUUAUAAUCCCCUUUCAGAAAAAUGUAAUGCUGCUGAUUAGAGGAGGGCAGAGUGGGUUCUUAAUUUCAGCAGAGGUUCCAGCAGCAUUUAUUGAGUUUAAAGUGAGUUCAGAGCCAUGUGCCUGGGAAAGCUAUUUGAAGAUUUGCACAGUCGUCAGAAGAUCCCAAGGAGAAGGACGACAUGGCACAUUCACACUUCUCUUCCUUUACAAUCGUUGUCUAAUAUGCACAGCCGACGACCAUGUAUGUAACUGUAACUGAUUUCCAGAAAUACUCAUUAAGAUCAAGAAGAAAAAGAAUUAGGAAUAAAGUAGGAAGCUUGCUUUAAAAAAUCAGCCAAAACAAAUGGGAAAAAAUGUUGGUUAAACAACAAGAUACCUGUCAGUCCUUCCAAAAUGUUAUUGUUCUUGUGGGGCUUGACCCCCAGUUAUGAUGUAGUCUGGGUGUGAGUGCUGGCACGUGUUUCCGCCAUGGACUUCCUCUACUCCCUGGCCAGCCGCCACACCCUCCCACCCCAACAAGGCAGAGACUCUUUCCCCUCUUAUGUAGGGAAAAGCCCUUGUUGCAGUCGAUUGAAUUGGAGGCUAAAGGUGCGCAGUCAUGGGGUGGUCACACCUCCUUCAACUGCAGAACUUUCCUGGUGUGUCAUUUCCACCGUGUGUCCUCUGCGUUUCCAGGAGGGCCUCUGACUUCCCGGAACUUGGCUGUAGCAUCUCUGCUGGCACCCGGCGAAGCCUGAGCGUGGAGAUUCAGCUGCCUUGCAUCCCGACCUGCAUAUUUUCUUUUCUCAGUUGUGACCUUAUCUAAUAGAAUUCUGUGUAUUUUCCCCCAUUCAGAAUGCACUACUAUUAAUAAUAGCAAUGGUUUUACUUAUUAUUUAUUAUCUUUAACUUUCAUAACAAUUUUCGUAGUACGGGUCUUAACGGGAAGAAUGGGCUUACUCGGAGUUGGUAAGUAGGCCCUGCUGUGGUUUUCCAAACACCCCCAUCCAUGCUGCAUGAUGGAGAUUGAGCGCACAGAAACCCACUCAAUAGAAAGCUGUCUGCAUUCAGGAGCUUAACUGUGUGCAAGUGAGCGGCCGUGGAGCUCAGGGUGGAACAGUUGACUCCACGCAGUGGCUGACCGCCUGGAAAAGCCCGCUGUCCUGACAGAUCUCGGAGAUUGGACCAGGGGAGGAGAAAGCGGAUUUAGCUUGGCAUGUGAGGCUGCCGAUUGAAAACAUUUCAAGUAUGCAACCUAGACUUGUUUUUCCCCCCAAAAAAGGACUAAUAUGGAAAUCUAGGCUCAUAGAGACCCCUCCGGAAGUUCCUCACAUUACUCUGAGUAUCAUUGUUUCUCACAAGCUAAAUGUACAUGCAGCUAAGGAAUAAAGCAUCCUAGCUAUGUGUUUGUUAAAGAUUAUGCCUUCAUUGGAAUUUUACAGCAUCAAAGGGACAAUAAUAACAAAAAAAAGAAUUCUUUCAACGAAAGUGCAGGUACUGGUUAGUGAGUGUUAACUCACAAUUAACUGUCUAGAGAAAAAGUAGGACCAACUGGCUUUCCAAGGCCUGAUGUCCAUGCUACUGUAUUUAAUUAACACAGCCAGGAGUUAUAAGUAUCGAUGCCUUCAUUAAAAAAAUACUAGAAAAGUCCCCCAGGAAAAAGGAAGUCAGAGCAUUUCAUGAAGGCCUUGCAAAAUAGAAAUAUAAAAGCAAUUAUUACACCCAUGAACCCAGAAUUAGUUUCUCUGUUCCCAGAUCCUUCUGCUUUGUAGUACUUCUCACAGCAAGAAAUUUUGGCAAUAGGAACAUUUGUUUACAGUAAAUAUACUUAGAAUUUUUCCGUAGAACUCAGGUUUUUAUGAAAAAAUGAAUAGAAAACAAAUAGCAACAAAAACCUAAAAGAGAAUCAAGAAUAGUAAAAGAUUAAUUGACUUCUUCUAAUCCCCAUGGCUAAAGUAAAUGUGAUUUUUAAGUGAAUGUCGGACGUGUUGAUAUUACCUGAACCUCAGUGUUCACUCCGAGGCUGCUGGGGGAGGGGUGAGGACAGAGGCUCAGCCUCCCUGCCUCCCCACCUGACCUGGCUUCUCCCUUCCUUGGACCAUGGCACUCUGGACGCGGAGCUGUAUUAGCAUUUACUACUCGUAUUGGCGUAUUGACGUGUUCGUCUCUCUCAGUGGCAGGAAUACAUGGAGGUCAGAGGCUGAAUCUCACAUAACUUCCCAUAGUGUCCUCCUCCUACUCAGUACUUAUUGCUGCUAAGGAACUUUUUUCAUCUCUUGACCUCCCCGUCAUGUUUUUGUUUCCGGGUGUGGGGAAGAUGAGGGCAGGCUGAGGAAGGGCAGGAGGAAGCAGUGUGAUGAGGUCGUGCUCAUCAGGGGUUAGGGGACUGUUUUCAAUUCCUGGCAUUAGAGAAGUGAGGACCAAAGACCUGGCUCUUGGAGUUUUGGAGAUUCCGGCUGGCAGAGCUUCCUUGGAGCGCAGGUGGCAAGUGAGGCAGAGUUGGAGAGGAGUGCUCCUGCGCCCCACAGGCAGGCAGGAAGCUGUGGGGACUUGGGGAGGCAGCUCCCUGGACGGGCGUGGUGGCGUUCUCAGGGUUAGCACUGUCAGAAGCGAGGCUUCUUGGGCCUGAGGAUGUGCUUCCCAGGAUGUCAGGCUGCAGCUUUAAGCAAGUGAACUUCCCCUGGAAGCUCCUAGGAAGCUCCUGGCCACUCCAGGCUCUUGCUUUCCCAGAGUAGGGGCCGAGUAGAGACAGCUUGCAACAGAGAAGCUCAGAUGGAUCAGCCAGCCAUGGACUGCUCCUGUCUUUGCUGUGAGAAGUGACAUGUUGGGGCACUGUCCUGAGGGGCUGGAUUGUUCUGAUUACAGGAAGAGCCAAGAGAAUCUGCAGUGGAGGUAGGGGGAUGUCACGGCCAGUGUCAUCCAGACUUGCUUCUGUUCUGGAGUAAAUGAUGAAGAAGCAAAAAGACCUAGAUAGUGAUGUCUACAGAGAGCAACAGGGAACCCUUAGAGGCAGCAGGAAGAAAGAGUUCUCUCUUUCCCGCCCUCCCCUCGUCUUCUCUCUCCUCCUCUUACUUCCUCUCAGGGUUUUGGUUUCUACAAAGCCUGUGUGCGGGGUAAUAGAAAACAGUGAGUUACAACCGUGUGAACUUUGAUUUAACGUAUUUACAUUAGUCAAUAUCUAACCAGGAAAAUAGAAACUAUUUAAAGUAUUUAAAAUAGGGGGAAUUUAGGGCGAAUUGGUUAUAUAUGUGAUGGAAGACCAGAGAAACCCAAAAGGAGAUCAAAUGGCAACCCAGAGAUUAGCAAUAAAGGAAGCCAUGACAAGAGAGACGAAGGGAGGGUAUUUUUCAUUAUUGAGAUAUAAUUGACAUGUAUCCCUGUAUAAGGUGUACAAAGUGUUCAUGGGAUCCAUUUCUAUAUUGUAAUGAGAUUUCUGUGAGAUCCCGGGAGGUGGUGUCAGGCCGUGGCACUCAGCACUGCAGUGGCCUUUCCUGCUAUGAAGCCAUGUAGGAUGUGCAGUCUGAGGCAGAAGGGCAGGUGGGAAUGCCCAGGCUUUUCCUUUUCUCCUGCUCUCCCCUCUCCCUAUAAGUUGCCUCUCCUUGGCUGAGGCCAGAGCUGUCCAGGAGCUCCGGGAAUGCAGCCUGCAGGGGGCAGCACGUCCUUGUUACAGAGCAGCCCGAGGGGCAGGAGAGGAAGCCAUAGGACCAAGGGCCAGCCAGUCCCCUCUUCUUAUAGGAGCCUCUGGGUGAUAUGAUGGAGGAAAACGUGUGCGUGUGUUGUGGGGGGUGGGGUGGGGUCUGAAAUUGAGAGAAAUUCUUAACUUUCCUGUCAGAAGAGUUGAAGUUUAUGUUGGCUUGAUAUUCAACUUUCGGACUAAAGGAUCAUAUUCAACGUAAAUUCAUUUCACAGACUUUAGUAAACAUUAGAAUUUGCCACCAGUUCAGAUGAGUUUGUCUGGACUGUAUUCUAAGUGAGUAGUAGCAGGCAGAAUUUUAUUCUAAAAUGUACAACAGCCAGACCCUUCAGUCAAGUGGCACUCAAUCUUGACAGUGAAAUGGUAAUACUCAUUUCUCAUUAUAGUUAUCAUGGAAGAAUUGAACUUAGAGCAGAUGCGUUUAAUUUAUUCACGAUGUCACCAGAUGUGGGCAAACUUGUUUGAAUAAAAUACAAAUUGACUUAAAGGUUUAACGUAAAAAUCAACAAUUAAAGAGCUGAAAAUGAUUAAUUAACCUUUUUUUCUUUUUCAUUUUGAUGUGUCUCUUGCGUUUUCUGUUUUCAGCUAAGAGAGACAGUACUGAAAUGUCAUUAAAAAAAUGUUGAUUUUGCAGUAUUUCUCUGCCCUUGGGAACAGGAAAUACCUAGAAUUCUGCUAGUGAGAUGGUUCUUAGGAACUUUCUCGUGUGAUUUUUAUAAUGAAGAGGAUUAAAUGUGUUUGGAUGACUCCAGCAUUGAGAACUUUGUCACUCUGAUGCUCCAGACCCAUUGACAUUUCCCCCAAAUGCUCCCUCUUCCAUAUGUUAGGGGAUUACUUUUAAGAUCAAGUAAUGAAUAUAAUGGAGUCUGUGCUGUUUUUGGAUUUCAGACUCCUUGUGAAUGUGAAAUAGAUUAAAUAGAGGACACUUGAGAAGUAAUAAAUUCCAACAAUAAUAUCAACGGGUGUGACAAAGAGACCAGGCAAGUGACUUUUCGACAGCGUUAAAGUGAUAUUGGCAUUUCCUUCUCUUUGGGAGGAGAGAAGCUGGGCCUGGGAGGAGGCGACAGUCAGUUCUCCGAAGCCUCUCGGAUACCUACACAGCUUUUUGGCCUGUCAUCUGAGCUGUGGAACUGAUUUAGCAAUAAAGUUCACAAAAUAGUGUUACAUAAAGGCCAAAUUGAAAAACGAUGCUGUUUUCAUGUCUUCCUUGAAUCAUGGGAAAGAAUCACUUCUUUUCUUAGUGUUUAGUUUCUUGAGAUCUAUGUCGUGUGUUUACAUUACCAUAGCUAUAGAUAAUUGGAUUGGCUUAGUCAACACCUGAGAAGAAAAAAAAUGGGCUAAUAUUCACUGAGUGCCCCCGUGUUCUGGUCCCUGCGGGGUGCGUGCCAAUGCUUAGGGGGAUGAGCAGGCAUGUUCAGUCGACAAAUGGAUGGCUUGCCUGUUGCGGCCAUGGGCUGCACUCGGUUGUCAGCACUGAUGUGAGUGAGGGAGAAUGGCAGUCAUGUCCCAAUAAAGUUGGAGUAGACUUUGGAGUCGAGUGGACUGUUGCCUGUUUAUUCUCAAAUCUGUUCCCCGAACUUCCCUUGUUCCCCCUCUGUGUCGCAGAGAAACUGUCCUUGUUAUUCCCAAUACUUCUUCACCAAUCAGCUUCUUCCCAGGAGUGGCUCUGGGAGGCACUGGCAGGAGAUAGGAAGGUGGAGGAAGGAGUAAUCCAGGGUACUAAUCUCCACCUGUCUCUGCUUUGGGGGUGUCUUCAGUAGUAACUGUCUCUUGUGAUGCUCUGGCUCCUGCCAGAUAGUUUGUUCUUCCACAGCCCAAACUCCCACUGUCCAAGCCUUCUGGGUUCUGGCUUCUACCAUGUCUUCUGCUCCUGACUUCCUCCCCAUGUCUGUCGAGCUCUGGGGAUGCAGCCUCCUGCAGUUGGAAAUUCCUGGUUGCCUCCUCUUCCAGUGUUUGCUCUUUGGGCCCUUCUAACGCUUUGUGACAGAUAUCCUGCAGUAAACUUGGUAAACUCCUUCUAUUGAAUGACUAGAUCCAGGCGUGGGUCUCCUGGUUGCACCAUGAAUGAUGCUGAGCCUGAGAGAUGUAGAUUAAAGCCUAUGUUUGACUCACCAUGAGCAAGACCUUUGGGCAAGUCAUUUAACUCCAAGGAUGUUCCUACAACCGUACUGUGGGGUUAGCACUGACUCAGAAAAUUGUAAUGGAGGUUAAAGGGCAUUCCUAGCAUGGCACCUGGCACAACGCAAGCAUCCUAUGAUCCUGUCUUAAGCCUAUGAUUUAAAAACCAGGGCACUGCUCUCUAAACUCUCUAAUACAGAGAAUCCUAGAGAAACAAGAAAAGCAUCAUGAUUGUAUGAGUAAAACAUCCAUUUAAGAGGGUGUGUGGGUUGUUGGAAAGGUCAUGGAAUACAAAUUGGAGUUGUUUGGACAUAAUGUCUAUGGAGAAGAGCAAACUGUCUGAGAGAAAAAGAUGAGACUAGGGUGUAUUCCAGGCAAAGGGUCAACUGGGAGACUAAGUUGGCUCCAAGACCUAAGGCGUGACUAUGGAACAAGAAGAGUGGGCAGUGAGUUGUUACAAAAGCUGAGGGCACAUGAGGAUGUGUUCUGGCUGUGGGAACCUUCUUUGGAUUCACGCUCCCAAAACAUCAACGGAGAACGCUCCCAGGUGUAAAAGAAAGCCAUGUUGCUUGUCCCUUGUUGCUUCACAGUUUUGCUAAUCCUCAUGGAACAUGAUGUCAGAGCUGUUCUGUGACACAUUUGGUGAUUGGAAAUGGGCAGCUGUUUUAAGCAGAGGAAGCCUGUAUACUUACUUCAGUUCAUGGAACCAUAUCCAAGGAAAAUGCUAGGUAGUCAUCCAAAGCUUAUUGAUUUAGAUACGUUCUUAACCUCUUUCUUAUCCUGGAAAUGUCAUAUGGGGAAGUAUAGUUUAUCAAUGUGUUAGACAUGAGAUUUAUGAUAUAAUGGAUCCCUUCGCUAGGGUUGUGAUGGAAAAACAUUUUGGUUACCUUUAGUAAAAGUAGUCAGAGUGUGACAGGAACUUAGAGAAUGGCAGGUGCUCAAUUAGUGCUUGUUGGAUUAAAUGUGUAUUAAAUAAAAAUAUUGGCAACAUGAAAUGGCACAUUUUGCAAAAAUUUAAUGACACAAUCACACAGAAACAACACACUGGAUUAAGAAAUAACGGAUGUGAGACUAUAAAAUGUGAUACAAUUGUAAGAUAUUAUUCUAAAAAUAUCUUGUGUAAUAUAGCAAGAGUUGUUGGCAUUAAAUCAUGAAUCAUAAUUUGAAUCUUGUAAAGAAGGGAGUGUCAGGUAUUUGCGUCUCUGAUUUAUAUCUCAGUAAAUCCUGGUACAGUCUAGUGGGCCCAGAAAAUACAAAUCCGAAGCAGACUUGAGUCUGCUUUUGAUGAUAGUAUAUCUGCGUGGAAUAAGAACAACCCAGCUGAAAGGUAUUAUGACAGACUUUAUUAUCUAUACAACGACACCUGGCUGAGUCUUGCUCUGCAGAGGACUUGCUCUUCAUCUGGCCACUGAGAGCAGGAGACCCCACCUGGCCCUCUCCCAUGUCAGCUCAUGGUCUCUUCAGGCUAAAUCUAUCCUCAGGCUAAACCUGGCACCAGGAGAUGGCACAUGCACUUGCCUUGAGUCCAGUGCUUGACAAGGGAACCCCGUUCUUGGUGUAUAGGGACGGGUAGGACCUACUUCUCUCAGCCCCUGUGAGGGACACCUGUUCCCUUCGCUAUUGGGGAUCCUGGAAGAAACUUCCUUCUGUAUUAUAAUUAUCAUGAGGGUACAUUCUUCAAGAAUAUUGGGAAUACUUGGGGAUAUAGAUUUAGAGAUAAAGGCAUGGAAACUUGACAUCAAAAGAAAAAUUCCAGCGGUUCAGUCUUGUUUACACUGUAGUCGAAGUUAAUAACACUUAGUUCACCACAGGCUCAGGAAAUCUUCCUUUAAGUGGACUUACACUUCUUCAUAGAACUUUUUUGCUAAUUCUCCCAGCCUUACCUUUUUCAAUAUUCCAAAUAAACUUUCAUUAAAAGGGGGGAUAAUUUAAUAUGCUGCCUAGAUACAGCUAUUGUUUUUUGCUGGGGGAAGAACACACAAAGUCCUAAGUGGAAACGGAAUGGUGUUCCUUUCAAAUAUACCAAUACGCUGGGAUUGUUACUUUCGAUAAAUCAAUUUCAAAUAGCCACUCUGAAUAUUCUAAAAUGCUCAAAGACUCUUUGGAACCAUUGAUAGAAAAUUAAUUUGUGGUUUAUUCAAAUUACUCCACGUGAGGAGAAAAUAACCCAUUAAAUGAACAGAAACUAAUUUCUUAAUGUUUCUCGUUUGCCUCAUUGCUUUCCCAAGGAAUAAAUAAUAAACCAUCAAAUAGAAAGUUCAUGAAAGAUCCAGGCAUGCUUAUGGCCACAGGGCUGCCUUCCACGCUCUCAAAGCUUUACAGCUUCCCUUUUGAACCCAUCGCCUGUAACGCUCCAUCAUUAUCAACAUGAACACAACAGUCUCCCAUCCCCGACUGUGUUUGCCUGCUCCUACUCUUGCUUCUUCUAUCUUCCUCCCUCUGCCCUCCUCCCUCCCGUCUCCUCCUCUGCCUUCCUUUUUCAACAAAAGCAUCUUCAUUACGCGUUUUCUGGACAUAGCGUACCGUGGAUUCAGAGGUGGGCUGUAAACAGUACAUUGAACGAAUGAAGUGGGUUUUAGAAAUUAGAGUUUGUUGAAGAGAGUCUUUAGGGAGAAGGGAUAGUGGAGGAAUGUUCAAGAAACAGUGAGUCCAUCAGUGUGGCUGGAGUGAAAAGAAGUAGGGGAGAUAAUGAGGGGCAGGUUGUUGGGGGCAGAUUGUGAAAGCCCUUGAGCACCACGCUUGCAUUUCCUUCUGUAGGCAGUGGAGAACUCUCAGUGGUUUCCAGAUACAAAUGUAUGCUAAAGAGUGAUUUGGGAAGAUAAACAAAUUAGUUAAAGUGUAGGUCCAGCUGGUCUAAGAGAGACCAACAGUCAAAGUGGCUUAAAUAAGAUUAAAGUUUAUUUCUCAGUCUAUUAACAGUCUAGGCUUAAGCAGUCUGGACUGCUAGGUUGGUUCCACAGAGUUGGGACUCCAGGACCCUUCCUUCUUGUUGCUUCACCAUCCCCAGGGCUUGUCCUUGUCUGCAUGGUCUGUGACAGCUUGCCUCCACUUUCACAUGUCUGCUAUGGAAAAGGGGGCUGCGGAGGGCAGGUGCCCAACUAAAAUACUAACAUAGAGGUUCUAUUAGUAUAAAAAGGAAUGCUAGGGAACAGUGUCAAACAUGGAAGGCAGCAAUAUGUAGAAUAUACUAGCAUGGAGUGUCUGGCUUUGUCCCUUUAAAUUCUCUAACGAUCCGAGAGCACCGGCUUCCAUAUCAGCUUCCAUUUCCCUGGGGGGACAGUUAGACUGUUCCUUGGAGAGAUUCUGGUAACCAGGAGAUGCAGAAUGGUGCAGGGAAGACGCAGACUCAGUGUCAAGGGAAUUAGGUUUAAGUCUCAGCUGACACAUUGCGUGACUUUGGGAAGCUUACCUAAACUUAAUGGAUCUCAGUUUUACUGUCUGUGUAUGAGGUUAUAAAUACUUUCUCUUCCUGUCACAAUGUUUGUCAUAAGAGGUGAAAAAUCAGCAAGGUACUAUCAUUGUCUUGCUGUUAGUGUAGGAUAUAGAUAUAGGUACAUCUAUGUAUGGGGGUGAGUGUCUAAGAUAGAGACUUAAAAAAAGAGUGAGAGAAUAAUAUCAGGGAACCAGUAUGAAAAUGGCAAUGGUUAUGACUGUGAUCUUUAUCCAUUUCUUUAUCUCCAGUGCCUGGCGUAUGGCAGGCCCUACAUAUGUCGGUUGGGUUUGUUUCAUAAAUUGCAAGUUUUACUUUAAAACAUCACAUCCAAAUGCUUUUAGGGAAAUUAUUUGUAUUUAUUUGGAGUUUCUCAAGCCUUUCUUUGUCUCGUUUCUCUUUAUCUGCUCUUUAGAGUGGGACCACAUUGUAGAGAAUGAAUGUGUGGUUUAAUAUACAGCUUCUGUUGUUUCUCACAUUAUCAGGAGGACAGCUAAAGUGUAUCAAUAUUUUGAAAAUAUGUAGCAGUUAUAUUUUUCCUUCUUUCUUAAAUCCUCUUUUACUGAAGCCCCUCUGUCAUUAAGACUAAGCCUUAAGGUUUUUUGCCCUGGAAAUGAGUCUCAAAGAUGACUUUUUGAGAAAACAGUAAUAGAAUGGAUUUAAAAAUCUAGUUUUCUUGAGAAGGAAAAGGAUUUAUUAAUUUCCAGCUCUCCUCCACUAUAAAUAGCAAAACCUGAGCCUGGCACACUCGCUUCAUAGAGUUCAUAAGUCAUUGUAUAGAAAUCUGGGAGUCUGUUGUAAGGAAAGUUCCCAUCAGGUACUUAGGGUUUUUGUUUCUGUGUUUGUGUGUUUUUUGUUUUGUUUUGUUUUCCCAUGGAGACAGCAAUGAGGAGAAGCAAGAAGUCAGAUGUUAUUGUCCUAGUUUUCCUCUCUUGGAGAGCACCCCAAGAAGUAGAAAUGAGAAGCAGAAGCAUCCAGAUGGUUUUGGGAAACUCCCAGUCCAGGCAGGCUGGCUCCUUACUUCUCAGACAAGGAACCUGGAAGGCAGCCCCUUAGGGACUGUGUUUCUUUCUGCAUGUGUUGGAGCAUUAUGGUGCCAACCAGGAAACAGGAUAGGAGAGGCUACAGGACCACACUGCCAGGGCAUCAAGUCAAAACAAAGAAGGCGAAACACAAAGGGACGAAGCAGACCAGACACUGAUUCUUGAAGCUUCCUCUUGGAGGUGACACACAUCACGUCUGCAUUUCGCAUGAAUUAUUUUGUACCAUGAUACCCGAAUCCCAUGUCAUUUGCCAUCAUUGAACAAAGAGAAAGACUCUAAGAAACCAGAACAGUCCUUAAGGGAGCUGGAGACAGAGGAGGCGGAUUGCCGAUUCGGAGACAGAGCAAGUAUUCCUGAGAGAGAAAAAGUGCUCCUGAAAGCAGCGGGUGCUGGUCUUCAAAUGUCGUCAUUCAGUUCCUCAACGACCAGGUUUGGAAACUGAUCAGUGCUAUUGAAUUUCUCUGUAAUAUCAGCAUAACUUUGAAAUAUCCUUAGUCUAGAAAAUGUAAGUGAAUUAAUGACUAAAGAUUUUGUAAAAUGUGGUUGUCAACAAUUUUUUGAACAUCUGUCUCCAGAGGAAUAUGAUUACGGAUUCAAAAUUGCAGGGAAAAAGUGACAAAUAGUCAGUCUUGGCUGUAAAUUUUCCUAUUUGGGCUGGGAGUCAGCUUCCUCAGAAAUCAGCUUGGUCGUCCCUCUCCCUCCAGGUCCGGGGCACACAGAGCAGCUGCUUGUCUCUGGAGUCCAGCUGUGAAGGAUUCAUGGGCGCCUUCUCCAGGGUUGCCAGCCCCAGGAUUGUUCUCCGUGAAGAUUUCUCCCAGAAUCUCAACGUGGCAAAGCUCACCAUGGGACCAUCCUUUUAGUUAGAGUUUCCAACAAAUGGGGAAGCAUUUGGCAUGCUCUUUCCAUCUUUGCUACUAUUCAUUUAGUCUUUGUCUCUGAAAUGCGUUGCCAAGAGGAAAGCUUCGUGUGUUCGUUUGUAGUGUGACAUCUUGCUUUGGAAACUUUGAGUGUGUGCAUAGGGAGGCAAAGAAAAAACGAGGCUUCACUUUUCCCCACUUUGCAUUAAUUAAAAAAAAGACUGAAAGUGAAGUUUGAGUUUUUCUUUAUUCAGAAAUUGGAAAGAAGAUUCGUAUGCAUUUUUGUUGUUGUUGUUGCAUUUUUGUUGUUGUGUUGUUGUUGGAGUAGAUGGGAGGUAGUAAGAGGUGUCAGAGACUUUCUCUUUGUUUUUAAUGUUGGUACCCGAGAGAUUAUACUCAAUGAUAGAUGAUAAAAGAAAGGGCCAGGUUUCAGGUGGAGUAAUCUUAUGAGGAUGAAGGGCCUGGAUGUCUUGUGUGGGAUAAAUGGAGGCUCUAAUCGUGAUCCGACUCACCGCUGGGGUUGGACAUAUUACGUAUAUCAAAAAAAGAUAUUAAAAUGGAGAUAAAUUUAAACCUGGUGAGAAAAAGGCAAUAAUAAGCCUUCCAAAUACCAUUUAAAAUUGCCCCACAGUGACCAUGGAGCCCUACAUAAAAGAAAUACUAUGAUCUCACUAAUUGUAAAACCUACAGUUUUAGAAAACUAAUGGAUCUUAGUGGAGAGAAAUUCAUAGCUUAAGAAUGUGACAACCACGAUAAGGUACUGAAAAGUCAGUUUCCCUAAGGCGGUUAGCGUGGACUCUGUAAUGAACUAAGUACUGGGAAACUUAAUUUGAAUUUUCCAAACUGUGUGCCCAGAGACAUAUGACUGAAACGUAUUUUCAGAAAGCUAUAAAGCAACCAUAGUUCUUGACAAGGACUAAUAGUCUGCUUUUACAAAGAACUUUUUUUUAAUCUAAGGGCUUCAGAGAACAAGCAGAGAGUCAGUUAUGCUACCAGCAUUGACACUUAGAGAGAAUGAAUGGGUCUUAGGGAACCACUGAAUCCGAAAGUUACAUUCAGUCAAGGCUCAUAUUGUUUUCUGUUUUAAUCUAGGAUUACUGUAUUUGCUUUUUUUACAGUUAGAAAAACAACUUCAAUUAUAUCUGUCAAGAAUAUGCUAAUAAUUGAAGAGUGUUUAAUAUUUUAUUUCUAAUAAUGAAAAUAUUACCAAAUUGUAUUUAUUUUUAAAGAUACUUGAAAUAAUAAAAUUCCAAGACAGCAAAAAAACUGUACUCACUUUCCGGUCAUCAAGUCUGUGUCCCUCGUUACUGAAAGGUCUUGUCAUUAGAGUAAGGAAAGGGGAGCUCGACUAAGCCUCAGAACGCCAACUGAUCCAUAGAAGUAGUAGGUGACUCUUCACAGAGAACCUGGGGAAGGUAGAAGACGGGCCUGCCAGAGGAUGAGACCCAGAGGGGGUCGUAUGGGCACGCCUUGCGAAACCCCAAUGACAGAAAGAAGGCGGGGGAGAAGGGGUUCUGGAUAUGGAAACUAAUUUUGGAAGGAGCAACACAAGAACAUUGAAGACAAGUAUUGCCUGCCUGGGAACUUUGUCUAGUCCCAGUGUUUGCGACGUGCCUAGGCUGACAUUAUAGGGAGCCCGAACAGAUUGGAUGUCACUGCCUUCGGAACCCAUGCUGUGGCCCCAUGAAGAGAUCCAAAGAAGGGCUCUGCUUCUGCUCUUCCUUGGCAGCUGAAGAGCAUGGCCAACGCUCCUUCCCUGAGCCCUCACCACCAUCAGACAUUGUGUUGAACCCUCCAUCCUCCAUCCCGUUUGGUCCUCACAGUGGCCUAUGAGCAGUUAAUAAUACCUCCAUCACCACCGUCCCCCCCAUUUUUUAACAGAAAAUACUGAGACUCUGAAUAGUUAAAUGACCUCAAGAACAAACAAAAAAUAACAGUAAAACUGGGGUUUAACCCUCGAGUUGUCUGCCUGUAGAGCCCAUGCUUUAUCCCAGGGUCUUAAGACACGGGAACUGGCGUCAGAGAAAUGUCUGCAGAACUUGCUGCUGUCUGGUCUCCAGGCUCUGUGCCCAGCCCAGAGCAGCAGCCCCUCUAGCUGGGGCAGAAAUGGAGGGAAAACUCCUGGAACUUCAGCCCUUCAGCAGCCAGUCUCAGAUCCUUCCCUCCUGUCUUCCCUCAUCAGAUUCUGAGAUGCAGAUAUCCUACUUCUGCUCCUCAAGACAAAAAGGGAGUUGGAAGGAGAACGUAAGUCUCCAGGGGAGUGGAUCCCGUCUAGUUUCUCCAUUUCCACAGUCUCUCACUCACUCCCAGUUCCCGGCAUCAAAGAGGUGGAAGAAAGGUCUGGAGGGAGAGGGGUCUUCACUUUCUGCUCUGUUCUCUUCCAUUUAUCUUUAAUUCUCCUUGUGAUUCAUGGUCCCUAUCUCCAGCUGUGACAUAGCCCUUUCAAAAUAGACCAUUUGUUCUUGGAGUUUGGCAGGAAGAAGGCAUGACUUUAUUUUCAGGUGAGUUAAUUAUUAUAUCCUGUAGGGAUGUCUACACUACAAUCCUGAUUGUGGUAUUUGCUGCUUAUUAAGCUAGGGUGUUUUGUUUUUUGUUUGUUUGGUUUUUUUUUAUCAAGCCCCUGAAAUUCCUCAGAGCAAAGAUAGGUUAUAAAUGACACCGAGUGGAAUAAAGCUACUUAUAAAACAUGUCUCAAAACAGGAUUUUUCUUUUUCUAGAGCAUCCAGUGCUUUUUACCCUAGAUAGAUAAGAUAGUUAAUCCCCCAGCCCCCUUAUUACUCUCCUACCGGUGUGUGGACACACUGACUCCCCUUUCCUGGGGUCUUGGCAUACUCCAUGAAGAGAGUGAUGUGGAAGGGUAAAAACAUUACUCAGCCACACUUUACGAAAGUUUCUAGCAGUUGGCAAUACUCAGUGUGACCUUUAUGUUGGAUUUUGCCAUCAUUUUAAUCACUUUACCAUCACUUGCAGGAGAGAAGGCGUCUUUAAAAGUGCCCUAUUUAAGACUAAGCCAAGACUAAGUGUACAUUCUCAUUAUUUCACACGUUGUCAAAGAAACCAGCACAGUGAAAUGACAGCAUUUUGAAGAAAAUAAAUUUGCACAAAGCUCUUAAUUAAGGUAGGGGAGGACAUUUUAUUGCAAUUAUUUAUAUUUGACGUUAAUCUUUUCAUUUUCAUGUUUAUGCAGCAAAACUUUAUUUUUGUGUCCAAAAUUUUGCUUUUAAUUUCCUACCACUGUUUGCCAAAGCCCUUGUAAAUUUCUAUGUCUUUUGCAAGAGGUUUUUACCCAAGAGUUUUUGGACUAUCUAUUGUAUUCUUUAUGUUUCUGUGUAUUUGGCUGAUUAUUCUACUAUAUCUAGGCUCUCAUUUGCAAAAAAUUAAUUUCCGUAUAGCAUGCUAAAGGAAGUUUCAGUGUAUUUACUGAUCAAAAAAAAGCUUAACUUUUUCUAACACCCACAAGGAUAAAGCAUUUGAUUUUAUACUGAUUAUUACUACUGUCAUUAAUUUUAUCUACUUUUUAAUUUUUUUUAUUUUAAAAUAUCAAGCCUACAGAAAAGUUGCAAAAAGGACCCUUCAAUCAGACUCAUUAAUUGUUAAUAUUCAACCUUUUGGGAAUUAAUUAUAAACAUCAUGACAGCCCAAUAUUUUAACAUUUCUCGCCUAAAACAAGGACAUUCUCAAUAUAACCCACAAUAUAAUUAUCAUAAGAAAAUUUAACUUAAUGUAAUGCUUUUAUCUAAACACAGUCCAUAUUCAAAUUUCCAAAGUUGUCCCAAUAAAAUCUCUUAUAACUAUUCAUACCCCUCCUUCCAGGACCCAAUGAAGAAUUAUUUAUCACAUUUAGUUAUCAAAUCUCUUUAUCCUCCUUUAAUCUAAAACAGCGCUCAGCUAUUUUUUUCUUUCAUGACGUUUAGCAUUUAUAAAGAAACUGGACCAUAGUCUUGUACAAUAUCCCUAAAAUGAGCAUUUUCUUGUAAUUAGAUUUUGGUAAAGAGCAUUUUUGGCAGGACUACAAUGUGUGUGAUGUUGUGUCCUUCACAGAGCAUCAUGUCAGGAAGUACACGCUGUCAGUGUAUCCUAGUUUGGGAAAUGAAGUUUGGUCACUUGGCUAAGGUGACGUCUGUUGGAUUUCUUCAUUGUGAAAGAACCCUCUUCUUUCAUAAUUAAUAAGUACUCUGUGGGGUGAUAUUUUGAGACUAUGUAAAUAUCUUGUUCUCCAAUGAUCCUUCCCCCAAUGGCUUUGGUAUCCAUUAAUAGAUGUUGCUUGAAUCAAUCAUUACUCUGAUGUCAGCAAAAUAGUGAUUUUCCAAUUUUAUCAUUUCUUCUACAUUUAUUAGUCAUCAUUUUUCUGUAAAGAAGAUCUUUGCAUUCUUCCUCUCUCCAACACCUGAAAUUAUUAUUUUGGGGUAUCAUUAUGAACUAAGAGAUUCCUUUUGUAUUCAAUGUAUUAUAAUUUAUUCCACUCGUUAUUUGUUAUAAUUCAUGAAUUGCUCUAAAUUUGGUCUAUGGAAGCCCCGCUAAACUCUGUUAUCCGUUUCAAUUGUCUUAUUCACUUAACCUCAUUAUCAGAAAUAAGCUUUGAAGAUUCAAAAUAAUUUUUAUCCCAAUUAUUUGUAGCAGUACUUCAACUCUCAUAUCACAUUUAUUUUUACCUGUGAAAAAUUGUCUAACGGUUCAGCUUCAAUAUGUAAAGAGCUGGGAAGUUGUCACUCUUAUCUUCACAAGAAAAGAGCUGAACACACUGAAAACCAAAGACCUUUCUUGGACCCAGAGAAACUAAGGUUGCGGGUCAAGCAGGUCAAAUUCAGAAAGUCACAGCCAAGAUCUGCUUACCUAGAACAGAAGUCAUUGGGUCCAUAAACUUAUAGCAACAGUUAAAUGGUAAUUUUGGUGAAUUGUUGGAUGCUGAGUGGGGACUAACAUGAGAGUCAGAAACUCCUGGGGGACACAGUCUUAGGGAGCUCCCACACUUUCAUGGUGUUUACCUCUGGGAAUCCCCCAGAUCUUCUUGGUAAAGAGCCAAGAAAGAUCCUCUAUGCCUCUGACAAUGGAAGGGAAAAAGUAACAAUUUGAAAACUCACCCAGUGCCUUGGCCAUAACAAAAGUCCACUCCUCAGGGUCUAAGACUUUACCAGAGCCUUAUCCCCCCUGGGGAAAGAGCAUGUACUCAACUCUGGCGCUUUCUAGGCAUCUUGUCUUACCUAAGGUGGGGAGUAAAGCUAGGAAAUAUUUAUGAAGCUCACAGUCCAAUGACACAGACUGAAAUUUCAUUGUAAGAGUAUAGAAUGCUCCCCCUCCCCCACACCUUACACCCUCUACACCAGCAGGGCUCCAGUAUUAAGAACAGUGGGUUACAGCUGAAAGGGCUGCAAGACACAGACUGUCUGAGGAGGAGUUCUCAGGGAAGCUCAGAGACAAUGGGGGAGACAAAAAACAACGGCAGCAGAGGUGUCUCAAGCCUCUGGUAGGUACAGCUACAGCCAACAGCCCAACUUCUAGACAGAUUAACAUAAAACAUCAUACCAAAGCCUAUUUACCUCAGUUCCUAUUACCCAAUACAUCAUGUCUAACUUCCAACAAAAAAUUACAAGGCACGCUAAAUAGCAAGGAAAAAGUCAUAUAAUGAAAAUAUCCUCUCUUUGUGAAGAUGUUUCUUCACCUUCAGUUGAAUUAGGAUGAGAUUGCCCCGAAAACUCCUUUGUUAUGUUUGUGAAGUUCCGUAUGUAACGUCUGAUUUCUGCCUAUAAAAAUCGAUUUGGUGACUCAUAUAACAUGAAGAGAAAUUUAAUUAUUCAGUUCUAGAGCAAAUAAGAAGUACAAUUAAAGAAGUGCAGUUAAAAAGACAACUAUAGGCUGAAAAGCUGACUCUUUUCCUUAGGAACAGAGAAGCUAAAGUGAAAUGUUUGCAUCGAAGGGCCCUGCUGGUUUUACGGUCACAUCUGCUAACCAGUCUGAAUCCUUGGCUCACAGGGAUCCUCAUGACUGCUGAAAAAAAGCGAUUCUUUCAGAAACAUUUCCCCUUCGUGUAGCCUAGCAUUUUUCAGCAGUCUGUGUUCCCAAAACUCGUGGUUGAAAAAUACUCAACCUCGUGCCUACAUUUCCUGAAAAGAAGAUCAGUCCAGAGGUGAUUCAGUAACACAUGAAGCUUGCUCUCCAGACACAAAUAUGAAAUACGAAUCAGAAAGAACACUGGCAUGAAAAUGACAGAAACCUCAUCACGUUGAGUUGGGAAGUCAGUCUUAUUAUUAGUUCACAGAGAUUGAGUGUUCUUUGGCAUUUCGUGGUGCCAACAGUGGGCUAGGUGCUGUAGCGCACAUAGAAUUAGACAAAAUUCUUGCCCAGGGGGCUCAUAAUCAAAUCAGACAAACCAGACGCUAGCCCAGUCCAGCAGUCUGGAGUGGGGAGAGUUGGGCUUCCAUGGGGAACCUAAGGUCACUCUGUCCAUGAGGAUACACUGUUUCCCUCCAACAAGCCUGUUCUCUUGUGUUAUGUAAGUUUGGGAGGAAACCUUAACAUACCUUCUUGUGAUUUCCAUUUCGACAUCACCUAGGAAAUGCAGUUGGGUUUUCACUCGUCGUGUGACAGGGUUCAGGAUAAAUUCUGUUAAGCACGUGGCUUGGUUUACUGGGUAAGGAAGGAAAAACUCACAGGCCAGAGUUACUAGAGGGAGAAGCAAAGUUUUGUAGGAGACAUUCCAGGGAGAGACCUGCAGGGCCAGGUUUUUGCUGAGCCUGCAAUACGUAUCUGCCAUUUUGUGACGAUCCAUUCUCACCUCCACUCCAUCAUGAGCGGUGAAGGUUGCAUGAGCAACCUUGACGAGUGAGCUGUUUGGCACCAGGCGGUCUGGAUUUGGGUUGUCAGCUGUUUACAGAAGAUUUUUGGGCAUACCAGUAGGCCAGCAAUUGGAAAUCUUUGCACUCAUGUAAUAUUCCCAAUGUGGGGCAGUAGAUGACCCUGUUGACAUGCAGGUCUGAGUUUAAAAAGCAAUAAAUAGCAUGCAUGUCAAAACUCAGCUCAAGGUUGGAUUGGAUAAUUUCCUGUGUCCUCCAAGUGCUUGGUACUAUCUCUGUUCUAGACUUGGCACUCUGUAUUAAGAUCACUGCCUAUUUGUCUGUAAACCAUCCUCUAGCAACUAGAUAGUGCUAGGCACAUAGUAGGUUCCAAUGAAAAUUUGUGAAUGAAUAAAUGCCGUAAAGAAUGUAAGCCAGCUCUAACUCUGCAUGUUCUUUGACCUUCCAAGGAGAACUCAAGUAUGACAACUUUCAAAAAUCUUCACAGUCCCCAAACCAAACCCCUUUAAGAUAUGUUUGUUUGUUUGUUUUUUAACAGCCUUGGGGCCUCAGCUUUAUAUUUAAACCUACAGGAUGUUUCCAUAGUUAAUUAGUUAGAAUCACGAGAGUAGCUACUCCCAAACCUUCAUCUAUUCCAUAAUUUUAUGUAUAUAUCACAUGGUGUGCAUUAUGCGCUCAGAAUUAUGUCACUCUAUUAUUUUGUGUAUAUAUCAGUACCAGUGUGGUUUGAACUCAGAAUAAUGGAAUAAUUGUUUUAAGAAAAAUAUUUAGGAGUUUAAAAGCCAUGUGGUUUUUUUAAAUAAUAAUUUUGCUUCUUUAAAGCUCCUUGAAGAUGUUGUGGAUUUUUAAUAGAGGAAAUAACUUUUUAAAAACCGUUG